GACGAACGCUGGCGGCGUGCUUAACACAUGCAAGUCGAACGAAGUGGCGAACGGGUGAGUAACGCGUAAUCAACCUGCCCUUCAGAGGGGGACAACAGUUGGAAACGACUGCUAAUACCCCAUACUGACGGAGGGGUUUGCGUCUGAUUGGCUCGUUGGGGGGGUAACGGCCCACCAAGGCGAUGGUCAGUAGCCGGGUUGGGAGGAUGAACGGCCACAUUGGGACUGGGAAACGGCCCCGACUCCUACGGGAGGCAGCAGGGGGGAAUCUUCCGAAAUGGACGAAAGGCUGACGGAGCAACGCCGCGGGAUGGAUGACGGCCUUCGGGUUGUAAAGCUCUGUUAAUCGGGACGCGGUACCGGAAUAGAAAGCCACGGCUAACUACGUGCCAGCAGCCGCGGUAAUUC
rnacentral:rRNA from 1 species